rnacentral:siRNA from 1 species
AGCUAUGACAUGGAUGAGGU